rnacentral:rRNA from 1 species
AUACGGAGGGGGCUAGCGUUGUUCGGAAUUACUGGGCGUAAAGCGCGCGUAGGCGGAUUGGUCAGUUAGGGGUGAAAUCCCAGGGCUUAACCCUGGAACUGCCUCUAAUACUGCCAGUCUUGAGUUCGGGAGAGGUGAGUGGAAUUCCUAGUGUAGAGGUGAAAUUCGUAGAUAUUAGGAAGAACACCAGUGGCGAAGGCAGCUCACUGGCCCGAUACUGACGCUGAGGCGCGAAAGCGUGGGGAGCAAACAGGAUUAGAAACCCGAGUAGUCC